UACAGGGAAUAACUAUUUAAAACUUAAAAAUUAAAAUUAUUUUAAUUUGUGAAGAAACAAUUAUUAAAAUUAAGGACAAGAAGACCCUAAGAAUUUUAAAAUAAUUAAUUUCUUAUAAGAAAUUAAUUAUUUUUAGUUGGGGCAACUAGAAAAUAUUAUAAACUUUUUAUAUAAUAAAAUGGUCCAUUAUUAAUGAUUAUUUGAGAAAAAUACUCUAGGGAUAACAGCGUAAUAAUUUUUGAUAGAACCUAUAGACAAAAUAGUUUGCGACCUCGAUGUUGGAUUAGGAUACUUUUUUAAUGAAGAUGUUAAAAAAAGAAGUUUGUUCAACUUUUAAAGUCCUACUUGAUCU
rnacentral:rRNA from 1 species